AACGAACGCUGGCGGCAUGCCUAACACAUGCAAGUCGAACGAGACCUUCGGGUCUAGUGGCGCACGGGUGCGUAACGCGUGGGAACCUGCCCUUAGGUUCGGAAUAACUCCCCGAAAGGGGUGCUAAUACCGGAUAAUAUCUUCUGACCAAAGAUUUAUCGCCUUUGGAUGGGCCCGCGUUGGAUUAGCUAGUUGGUAGGGUAAAAGCCUACCAAGCCGACGAUCCAUAGCUGGCCUGAGAGGAUGAUCAGCCACACUGGGACUGAGACACGGCCCAGACUCCUACGGGAGGCAGCAGUGGGGAACAUUGGACAAUGGGCGAAAGCCUGAUCCAGCAAUGCCGGGUGAGUGAUGAAGGCCUUAGGGUUGUAAAGCUCUUUUAACCGGGAUGAUAAUGACAGUACCGGGAGAAUAAGCUCCGGCUAACUCCGUG
rnacentral:rRNA from 1 species